rnacentral:tRNA from 1 species
GGGGAAUUAGCUCAAAUGGUAGAGCGCUUGCUUAGCAUGCGAGAGAGGUAGUGGGAUCGAUGCCCACAUUCUCCA